rnacentral:rRNA from 1 species
UACGGAGGGAGCUAGCGUUGUUCGGAAUUACUGGGCGUAAAGCGCGCGUAGGCGGCUUUGUAAGUUAGAGGUGAAAGCCCGGAGCUCAACUCCGGAACUGCCUUUAAAACUGCAUCGCUUGAAUCCAGGAGAGGUGAGUGGAAUUCAUGGUGUAGCAGUGAAAUGCGUAGAGAUCAUGAGGAAGACCAGUGGCGAAGGCGGGUCUCUGGACAGUUCCUGACACUGAGGCACGAAGGCCAGGGGAGCAAACGGG